rnacentral:rRNA from 1 species
UACGUAGGUGGCAAGCGUUGUCCGGAUUUACUGGGUGUAAAGGGCGUGUAGCCGGGCUUACAAGUUAGAUGUGAAAUCCGGGGGCUCAACCCCCGAACUGCAUUUGAAACUGUAGGUCUUGAGUAUCGGAGAGGCAGGCGGAAUUCCUAGUGUAGCGGUGAAAUGCGUAGAUAUUAGGAGGAACACCAGUGGCGAAGGCGGCCUGCUAGACGACAACUGACGGUGAGGCGCGAAAGCGUGGGGAGCAAACAGG